rnacentral:misc_RNA from 1 species
ACACAAAUAGGGUGGUUGGAACAUUUGGAUAUAUGGCACCUGAAUAUGCUACAGAUGGGAUUUUCUCUGGCAAAUCUGAUGUUUUUAGUUUUGGUAUCAUAAUGCUUGAGAUAAUAAGUGGUAAGAAAAGUAGAGGGUAUCAUCAACUAGACCAUAGUCAUAACCUUAUUGGAUAUGUAAGUAUUCAGAUUUAUUCUUUGCUAUUUCUUUCCACAUCUGUUAUGAAUCAAUAAAAGGGUUCUGAUGCUUUAGGCUUGGAGAUUAUGGAAAGAAGGCAAGUCGUUGGAAUUGAUUGAUCCAGUAUUAGGAGAGUCGUAUCAUCUAUUGGAAGUGAUGCGAUGCUACCAUAUUAGCCUCUUAUGUGCGCAACAUCAUGCUGAGGACAGGCCAAGUAUGGCACUUGUGCUUUUGAUGUUAGGUAGUGAGACUCCAUUGCCUGAGCCCAAAGAACCUGGUUUUUUUAAGGACAAAGGUCGAGUUGAUGAAGGAUCUUCAUCGAGCAAAAUUGAAUCAUCCACAACCAAUGAAAUGUCAAUCUCAUUGUUGGAAGCUCGAUAGAAGAUCAUUUAACUACAUGCCAUGAGCUAUUUUUCUUGUAUUGGGUGUCACUGAUUCAUGGACCCUUUCUAUAUUGUGUUUCUAUAUCUGUGCAAACAAAUUUAUUCCACGAUUUCAAAGUUCAGCAUGUAUAUAAUUGCUGCAUUGUGUUUAGCUAACAAAUUAAUCGAAGCUGCAACUAUUAAUUUAGUUUGGUGGGAAAGGUUUGGUUUUUGUGCUACGGCAAGUGAAGUCUUUAGGCUUUAUCAUUCAACAAAUAAGAGAUAUUACCUUAUGUGCCAUCUUAAAAUUCCAUGCAUUAUAUCAAGGUAUCAAACACAGGGCUGGUCAAUAUAAAACCAUAAUUGCAGAUUGGGC